GCUAACAGCGAUAGCACGCUGAAUGCACCAGUUCAGAAUGGAUCACUGAAGUUAAGCAACGUUGCUCUUGGUUAGUAUCCGGAUGGGUCAUGACCAUGUGGGCAGUCGCUUGAUACUAGCA
rnacentral:rRNA from 1 species